rnacentral:rRNA from 1 species
AUUGAACGCUGGCGGCAGGCCUAACACAUGCAAGUCGAGCGGAAACGGCAACAUUGAUUCUUCGUAUGAUUUGUUGGACGUCGAGCGGCGGACGGGUGAGUAAUGCUUAGGAAUUUGCCCAGUCGAGGGGGAUAACUAUUGGAAACGAUAGCUAAUACCGCAUACGCCCUACGGGGGAAAAGAGGGGGACCUUCGGGCCUUCUGCGAUUGGAUAAGCCUAAGUGAGAUUAGCUAGUUGGUGAGGUAAGAGCUCACCAAGGCGACGAUCUCUAGCUGGUCUGAGAGGAUGAUCAGCCACACUGGAACUGAGACACGGUCCAGACUCCUACGGGAGGCAGCAGUGGGGAAUAUUGCACAAUGGGCGCAAGCCUGAUGCAGCCAUGCCGCGUGUGUGAAGGCCUUAGGGUCGUAAAGCUCUUUCGCCUGUGAAGAUAAUGACGGUAGCAGGUAAAGAACCCCGGCUAACUCCGUGCCAGCAGC